rnacentral:rRNA from 1 species
UUUACACAUGCAAGUCGACGGCAGCACGGGCUUCGGCCUGGUGCGAGUGGCGAACGGGUAGUAAUACAUCGGAACGUACCCAGAAGUGGGGAAUAACGUAGCGAAAGUUACGCUUAAUACCGCAUACGUUCUACGGAAGAAAGUGGGGGAUCGCAAGACCUCAUGCUUUUGGAGCGGCCGAUGUCUGAUUAGCUAGUUGGUGGGGUAAAGGCUCACCAAGGCGACGAUCAGUAGCUGGUCUGAGAGGCGACCAGCCACACUGGAACUGAGACACGGUCCAGACUCCUACGGGAGGCAGCAGUGGGGAAUUUUGGACAAUGGGCGCAAGCCUGAUCCAGCAAUGCCGCGUGAGUGAAAAAGGCCUUCGGGUUGUAAAGCUCUUUUGUCAGGGAAGAAACGGCGUGGGGCUAAUAUCCUUUGCUAAUGACGG